rnacentral:rRNA from 1 species
UACGGGGGGUGCAAGCGUUGUUCGGAAUUACUGGGCGUAAAGGGCUCGUAGGCGGCCAACUAAGUCGGACGUGAAAUCCCCAGGCCCAACCUGGGAACUGCGUCCGAUACUGGAUGGCUUGAAUCCGGGAGAGGGAUGCAGAAUUCCAGGUGUAGCGGUGAAAUGCGUAGAUAUCUGGAGGAAUACCGGUGGCGAAGGCGGCAUCCUGGACCGGCAUUGACGCUGAGGAGCGAAAGCUAGGGGAGCAAACGGG